rnacentral:rRNA from 1 species
GAUGAACGCUAGCUACAGGCUUAACACAUGCAAGUCGAGGGGAAACGGCAUUGAAAGCUUGCUUUUGAUGGGCGUCGACCGGCGCACGGGUGAGUAACGCGUAUCCAACCUGCCCAUCACUUGGGAAUAACCUUGCGAAAGUAAGACUAAUGCCCAAUGACAUCCCACGAAGGCAUCCGAAUGGGAUUAAAGAUUUAUCGGUGAUGGAUGGGGAUGCGUCUGAUUAGCUUGUUGGCGGGGUGACGGCCCACCAAGGCAACGAUCAGUAGGGGUUCUGAGAGGAAGGUCCCCCACAUUGGAACUGAGACACGGUCCAAACUCCUACGGGAGGCAGCAGUGAGGAAUAUUGAUCAAUGGGCGAGAGCCUGAACCAGCCAAGUAGCGUGCAGGAUGACGGCCCUAUGGGUUGUAAACUGCUUUUAUAAGGGAAUAAAGUGGGUCACGUGUGACUUUUUGCAUGUACCUUAUGAAUAAGGACCGGCUAAUUCCGUG